rnacentral:rRNA from 1 species
UACGUAGGGUGCAAGCGUUGUCCGGAAUUAUUGGGCGUAAAGAGCUCGUAGGUGGUUUGUCGCGUUGUUCGUGAAAUCUCACGGCUUAACUGUGAGCGUGCGGGCGAUACGGGCAGACUGGAGUACUGCAGGGGAGACUGGAAUUCCUGGUGUAGCGGUGGAAUGCGCAGAUAUCAGGAGGAACACCAAUGGCGAAGGCAGCUCGCUGGGACGGUACUGACGCUGAGGCGCGAAGGCCAGGGGAGCAAACGGG